GCGCUCCGGAUACCAGGGAGACUGUGAGCUUCAAUGACUGCAUGUGGUGAACAUACAGCGAAUCCCGCACCAAGUUGCCCAGUCGCGUCUCUUUUGCAUGAGCCGUCUAUGAAAAAAAUAUAAUCAGGGUUAUGAAGAGGGUUGUCAGUAAGGUCUGGGCGUGGGGUGUUAACAGUAUGCACCUGAAACAAAACAUAAAUAAGCAACAUACACAUGUAUUUGUGUGAAUUUGAAAGCACAAAGAAAAAGAAUCAUUCCACAAGCAACACCAUGGACAAUUGAGCAGAGGCCUAGGACACUCAUCAGGAAAAGUGAAUCACCAAGGAACUGCAACUCAACUUUGAUUGUGUCCAAACUUGCAGCUCAAAAAUGCAUUUCCCAUGGAACAGUGUUGAAGGAAGAACACAAGACAUUUUCACCAUCAUUUUAGUUUCGACUGCCAUCAUCAUCACCUCCCAAGAAUAGCCUUGGUCCCAAGCAAGGUAUAUCCUGGCAGGCCAGUUUGGGCCAGGGCUUCCUCAAAUCCCUAAACUUUUAAUAGCUAUUUUGCUUCAUGAUGAAGAUACCCCAAAGGUCAUCUUGCCUGAUGAGUGGAAGGUAGACAGUCAUGGUUGACACACAGUUUAUAGUCACCUACAUAUGAAUUUAAGUGUGGGGUGCCACACAAGCAAAGUGCAUAGCCCUGUUGACCUAGGAAUUAAUUUGAUUGCAUGUGAUGGCGAUACAGAUGGUAGUAAGUACCUCAGAAAUAUUGUGCUGAUCAUCUCCUAAGUUGGCUUAACUUUAUUCUAAAAAUGCUAGGAGUCAUUACAUUUUGGAACAGAAAGCUUGAUGCAUAUGUCCAGAACUUCACAUGAAUCUAUAAAUCUCCACUACCACCACAAGAACCAAAACUAGGUAGGUACCCUUGCGCGUGUGUUACUAAGGGUGUGUUAAAUAUCUGCAUAACACGUAAAUAGGAUAAUAGUAUCAAUCUGGACCCUUUUAAGUGUCAAGGCUGGGUCGGUUUGAUUGGUCCUAACGGUGAUCAAUGUGAUGUAAGCAUGAGUAAUGGCACAAAAGUUCAACCCUUCAGCCAGAAACAGUGUAGACAAUAUGUCUUGGGAAACUUGAGCUGUACCACAGAGGAAAAUACUGGACUGUAGUCUGCCCUUUAUAAUGUUUCCCUGGUGGACAAUUGGACAAUAACAACAUCCAACAGGUCUGUAAAUCAGUUUGAGGUCCUUUACCCUAAAAUAAUCCAGAAUGGACCUGUAAGUGUAAAAGGAGAUCAGAUGCAAGAAUUAAUCGUGGAGCCCAUUAGGUCACUGAAGGUUAUAUUAAGCUUAGAAACUGCUAAUCAUGUGUCCAAGAUAAAUUUGCAUUGUACACCAUUUACGUACUUACUUGAAGUGGGAUGGUCUAAGCAGCUACGUAGCUGAGCCACCUCCCCUCAAGCACAAGAGGAAGUGGGACAUAUCUACUUUACUAGGGGGGCAGGGAUCUGAUAUGGGAUACUGAGCACUGUGGAUGUGGAAGUGCUACCAAACGCACUAGCCACAGUAUCCAGAUGACUGCAAGAUUUAGCUAGUCCAUUAAGUUCCUCAUUAACUCAAUUAGGGAUGGGGCAACGGUUUGCUGUCAAUCUGUUACCUCAGUGGGAAAGUCUCAAUGGGUGCUUGUAGACGUGCGGAACACCUGCUGUCACACACUGUAAUUACAGCAUGCCAGUGUUAGACCCCCAGCUCCAUGCGGCACCCAACAACUAGGGAGAUGACAGUCCAAUCACUCAUGGAUCCUGUUACUCACUAGCCAGAGCAAGCAGGGAGCAAGCACCAUCACACAUUGCUCGCAACAGCUUUAUUCAGAAUGAAGACAGCUUCAGACAAGGGUCCCUCACAGACACACAGCCCAUGAACCAGGGGACCUGCCCCGAACAAUAGUUCUUUUCCAACAUUUAUACACCUUAGUUCAUACUUAUUAACAUUUGCUCCGUCUGUGACCCUCCUUCGGUUCCACCCAUUUCUGUUCCCAUCUCAAGCUCUGCCUCUGUUUACUGUUUGCUUCCUUAGCAUGGUAAUGCCUAUGCAUUUAAUUCAUUUAUAUGCCUCUUUGCUAAAAGUGCAUGUGUAAGACUUUGACCCCCACCUUCUCCUGGUCAACUGUGGUUUCUUGCUGACUUCAGCCGCAUAUCCAAGUCCCUACUUCUGCUUUGUCCCCUAACGAUAGCCAUUGGUUUGUAUCUUAUUUUGACACAACACAUCAUUCACUUUACACCCUAUCCUUUUGUUAGGAAUUCGCUUACUUAAGCAUUAGCAAAGUUAGUUACUUUUCAUAUAUCAUCCAGCCUUGUGACCAGCAGCUUUUGCUGAGACACAGAAAAAAGCCUUCAUUCAGCUGCACACUCAGUGCUCCCCAAAAUCCAUAUCGUUACCCUAACAGUCAAAGCAGACUCAAUUAAUCGAGUCUGCUGGAAUGCUCCA